CAAAGUUAACAUAAAAAUAAUUUGAAAUGUUCAGUAUUUCCUGGUUUAGCUUCCUGAUUUUUUGCUCUAUGCAAUAUUUAGUUGUUAAACCAUACACUUGGGCCAUAAUGUAUAAUCAGUGUUAUUUUUUCUAAUGUUAUACUGUCACUUGGAAAUGACAGUACUGCAACUUGCUUUACCGUUUUAACAGCCCUGUAACAGGCAGAUAUUCUGAAACUUACAAUAUAAAUAUGCAUUAGUAAUAUAAAUGAGUAUUGUGCAGUUUGUUGGAUUUCUUUAAUCGGGAGAAGUCGUGUGCAGAGUGCAGAUUCCAGUCGAUGUUCUGUGCUGUCAGUGUCACCAUGAUCUGAUCCAAAUAUCAUGCACGGCUCUGCACUAUAGGCUCCUUUUGCAACACUGGAAAAUGCAGCCGGCACUGGGGGGCCCCCCACAGGGUGUUAGCAGCAUUGCACACAACUUCACUCAUUCUGACGUCUCCUGAAUUUCUAGGAAUGCCCCUUCCCUGUUACUAUAUUUGGAGGUAGUUUCUAGGAAAAUAAUUUGCACAGGAUCUGGACUUCAGCACAGCUCCAUUUUCAGAACCACUUUAAGGAUCAUUUUUGCAGCCUCCUUUAAAUGCUUUUGGAUCAGCAGCCCCUGGGUCUGCAACACUGCUCAGAAUGCAGAGUAAAAGGCAACGAGUCUCACUGCUAAUGGCAUCUCCUUUCCAUGUUUCAUGCCAUUUUUUAUUUUAACUUUUUGGAUUCCUUUACCAGUCACCACUGGAUUUUUUUUUUGUUACCCCUGAUGUGGCCUCUUGUGGCGUGAGUACGAUGAAGAAAUGUUUCAGAAGCCUGGCAAUGUGAUCUUUAUGUAAUGAGUCAGGAUUCGCUAAGGGAAGGGAGCAGAGGGCUGCUGAGGAAUCAACCUACUCCAGCAGGGGAAUGACAAGCAGUGUUGCUGCUACUGCUGCCUGGGCUCUCCCAUAUACAUUAUUCACUCAGCUCGUAAGUCAUUACCUUGCUUUUGUCUUGCCAUUUCUAGAAAUCCUGUGCAGACUGCAGCUGAAAGGAGCAGCCUGUGAUCAGCAUGUCUGCAGCGAGCGCAUGGCACACAAUUGCAUGACUGCUGCUGGGAGACCCCCCUGGAUCUGCUGAUGUGCAGGUGUGGGAAAGGCUGGGAGGGUUCGAGCCGUGCAGCAGAAUGGGGAAACCCCUUUAAUGAUCAGCUUUAAUGACUGCUGCUUGCUCUGCAGGACUUUGAUUAUUAUAUAGCCACACAAAGAGGGAGAUGAUUAUUGCUGCCGUAUUAGAUCCAAGAGCAACAAUGCUGGAAUAAUAAGAAAGCUCAUAUGCAGACAAUAGACUUUAAGUACCUGCACUCUCUAUAGACGCUAUAGUCUGACAUUCAGCUGCAGUCUAGUGUUGUGCAUGGCAGCCUGUUAAAAGCAACAGAUCCCCCUUAGCUGCUCACUUCACUUUUAAUAUUAUUAUUGUUUUGCCUAAUAUACAUGCACCUUGCAAGGCACAAUGCAGAGCACCCUGACACACGCAGAAUAAUGUCAGUUAUAUCUACUGCUGCUUUCAAAAAGUUACCGGGGAAAGGCCCAACAGUUUCUUCAAUAUGAUAUUUAACCCUUCGCUGUCAUGAAAUCCUAUGGCUUUUGGAGGAAGGGAUGGGCGCUUAGCAAGCUAUGUUUAUUUAAUAUACAGGUAAAAAAAAAAAAAAUCCCCAGGGCGUUAGCAAGAAUAUAGAGCAUAUAGUCCCCACCUUGAAGACAGUGAUGUGGGGCACAUACAGGUACAACUUGUUUCAAUAGUUCACUUCACAAAGACAGUUGUUAGUGAUUUGGUUGUGCGCCGAGGCUCCUCCAUACAGUGAAGCAAGCCAAAGCUAACAUUCUGAGAAAUGACAGCUACAUUUGCAGAAAAAAAGCCAAUUGUAUGUCUCCUGUGCUUGGGUUAACUCUACCGUUCAUUUCUGCUCCUCUAAUCCCAAUGUUAUACUCAGCCGUGAGUGGCCAAGUCCUAAAUGCUGCCUGGAGUGGAGCCUGUUGAUAUGUCAUGCAUGGAUUUAUGUAGAAGAUGUAGAUAAUGUCUUGCUAUGAUAUAAAUCACACAGCAUGGAAAGGACUAAGAACAGAUCUCCUUGUGCCUUAGACUUAUCUAGAUGAUGGCUUUUUUGUUAUGUUACUGAAGGAAGACUCAGCUUUGGGGCCUGUCUGAUGUGUGGAAAAAAACAUUAAAGAACUGGGAGUCACGUCUGAUCCUCAAUAAGGGCUGUGAAUUAUGCAUUAGAGGGCAUUGCUUUUCCUGAUCGAUACAGAGAGGCCGGAGCAUUAAAAAAUAACCUUUUUAUCUCUGUGACACUUUCUUUAAUAACCAGCGCGUGACCAGUGUGCUUUCGGAGUCGGGAUUUUGGGGGCGAGAUGAGCUAA